UACGGAGGGUGCAAGCAUUAAUCGGAUUUAUUGGGUGUAAAGAGCAUGUAGGCUGGUCAGUAAGUCAGAUGUGAAAUUUCGAAGCUCAACUUCGAAGCUGCAUUUGAAACUGCUGACCUAGAGGGUAGACGGAGAAAAUGGAAUUCCAAGUGUAGCGGUGGAAUGCGUAGAUAUUUGGAAGAACACCGGUGGCGAAAGCGGUUUUCUAGUUUAUUCCUGACGCUGAGAUGCGAGAGCAAGGGGAGCAAACAGG
rnacentral:misc_RNA from 1 species